UUGGAGGGCAAGUCUGGUGCCAGCAGCCGCGGUAAUUCCAGCUCCAAUAGCGUAUAUUAAAGUUGUUGCAGUUAAAAAGCUCGUAGUUGAAUUUCGGGAUCAAUGUUUCGGUCAUGCCGUUGGUAUGUACUGAUAUUAUUGGUUUCUCACCUUCUAAAGAACCGUAAUGCCAUUAAUUUGGUGUCACGGGGAAUUAGGACUGUUACCUUGAAAAAAUUAGAGUGUUUAAAGCAGGCUCACGCUUGAAUACAUUAGCAUGGAAUAAUGAAAUAGGACAUCCGAUUCUAUUUUGUUGGUUUCUAGGAUCGAUGUAAUGAUUAAUAGGGAUAGUUGGGGGCAUUAGUAUUCAAUUGUCAGAGGUGAAAUUCUUGGAUUUAUUGAAGACUAACUACUGCGAAAGCAUUUGCCAAGUAUGUUUUCAUUAAUCAAGAACGAAAGUUAGGGGAUCGAAGACGAUCAGAUACCGUCGUAGUCUUAACCAUAAACUAUGCCGACUAGGGAUCGGAUGAUGUUAAUUUUUUAAUGACUCAUUCGGCGCCUUACGGGAAAC
rnacentral:rRNA from 1 species